rnacentral:rRNA from 1 species
AUUGAACGCUGGCGGCGUGCCUAAUACAUGCAAGUCGAGCGCAGGAAGUCGACGGAACCCUUCGGGGGGAAGUCGACGGAAUGAGCGGCGGACGGGUGAGUAACACGUAAAGAACCUGCCCUCAGGUCUGGGAUAACCACGAGAAAUCGGGGCUAAUACCGGAUGGGUCAUCGGACCGCAUGGUCCGAGGAUGAAAGGCGCUCCGGCGUCGCCUGGGGAUGGCUUUGCGGUGCAUUAGCUAGUUGGUGGGGUAAUGGCCCACCAAGGCGACGAUGCAUAGCCGACCUGAGAGGGUGAUCGGCCACACUGGGACUGAGACACGGCCCAGACUCCUACGGGAGGCAGCAGUAGGGAAUCUUCCACAAUGGACGAAAGUCUGAUGGAGCAACGCCGCGUGAACGAUGAAGGCCUUCGGGUCGUAAAGUUCUGUUGUAAGGGAAGAACAAGUGCCGCAGGCAAUGGCGGCACCUUGACGGUACCUUGCGAGAAAGCCACGGCUAACUACGUGACAGCCGCCGCCGUAAUAC